CAGACAUAUUUUUUCCAACAUCUCUUCCGUCUUUCUAGUUUCUUUUUUUUUUCUGGCAUCAUUUUUUCUGUUAAAUUACUUUUUUAUUCUCUUUAUCAAUCCAUCCUUUAAAGGACCUUCUGGAAGUAUUCCUCAGCCGGCAGCUUAUCAAUGGAGAGUUCAGCUUCCCUUGCUCCCUGCUGUAUUUGUUUAACACUUAUCCAUAUUCUCAGUGGCCUCCCUGUCAACCUCUGUGUCCCUAGUCCCGUAUCUGUGAUCGGAAACCAGCCGAGCUUUCCCUCUCCCUCAGUGGAGGGGCCUUCUCCACCCAUCGUUGCCUGCCUGGAUGAGAGGUGAUGGCAAUCCUUAUCCUCAGAGCAGGUCGACAAUUAACACUGAUGGAGGCGACUUUAACUGGCAGACAAAAAGGUCCUUACCAGCAUGACUAUGUACUUCAAUGCGAUCUACUCCAGAGAAAGGAAAAAAUGAGGAGACGGCCAGUUAAGUCACCCAUGUCAGAUCAGGCCAGGUCUCUGCCUCUGUUCUGCUUCUGAUGUGGCACAGCUGCAUAGGACACCAGCCACAUGCCUUCUGUCGCUUUGACUCUGUCAUCGCUGGUCUCCUCUCUAUGGUGCAUCACCAUCAUCGUCAUCAUUGUCGUUGUCUCCUCUCAGAGCUACAGGAGCUUGAGGGGUUAAUUCGACAUGCACACGUUUUAUGGCCCCUCAAGAGUGAUGUCUGCAGACAGGGCUUAUGCCGAGGUGGAAUUUACCUAACUCCAUUGGUCCCAUGUAGGAGAAAAACAGGAUUUGAGAGCGGUGUGCAUCCUCCAACCCCCCGCGAGUCCCCUCUGUUCUAAGUGAGUUGGCUUGUCGGCGAGCACUUGAGAGAGGUAAGGGUGGCAGGGGUGGUGAUGGAGGAGGAUGCGAAAGGUUGUUGUGCGUGUUUGGGGGUGCCAGUUGCACACAAGACAUGUGAAAAUUUACUGCAAAUGAGACAACAGAGGUAAAUCCAUUUUUAUUCAAAUUACUGUCAUCGUACAUUACCACACCUCCUGUAAACAUUUUGCCUCAGACAGUGUGACAGGAUAUUAUUAUUUGCUAGAUUACACUAUUAAGCCAUUAGCAUGUCACCUCCUGUUUGAAACAAUGGCGGGGCUCGCCACCGCAUAAUAAGAUGAGGUAAAGAGAGACGCCGAGGUGUCAGGAGCUUGACAAAUGAAGGCAGGGGAUGCAAAGAGGAAGUCAUAGAGGGGAGCUCAGGUACUCUGCUACCUCUGUGAUGGAGCAUGAAACACCCAUGUUUAAACAGGACCUCUCAUAGUCCCCCCUGGCUCUUCUCUCUCUCUCUUUUUCUC